rnacentral:pre_miRNA from 1 species
CUUGCAGCAGUGGGGUUCCUCAGCCUGGCCUGCACCCUCUCACAAUCCGGGACCCCUCAGGGGUUUCAGAGAGCCGGUUUCAGCCCGAUCCCGCAGGCCAGGCCGAGGGACUCCACUGGUGCACG